GCCUUCUUAGUUCAGCGGUAGAACGUAGCACUCGUAGUGCUUGGCCGAUGCUAAGGUCAGUCGUUCAAUCCGGCUUUAAGGCA